rnacentral:rRNA from 1 species
UACGGAGGGUGCGAGCGUUGUUCGGAAUCACUGGGCGUAAAGCGCGUGUAGGCGGCCUUGUAAGUCUGGUGUGAAAGCCCGGGGCUUACCCCCGGAAGUGCACUGGAAACUGCAAGGCUAGAGUACCGGAGAGGAAGGUGGAAUUCCUGGUGUAGCGGUGAAAUGCGUAGAUAUCAGGAGGAACACCGGUGGCGAAGGCGGCCACCUGGACCAGCACUGACACUGAGGCACGAAAGCGUGGGGAGCAAACAGG